rnacentral:lncRNA from 1 species
GCUCAACCAUGCAUUGGAGUCUUCUUGGUUGUUGGGAUUGGGAAUUCCGAACAGAUAAUAGAGAGAGGAAGAAGGGAUAAAUGAACCAAAUGAACAAAUGGCCAAAAGUCCUCUCCUCCAAGCCUUAGAGUUCUAUUUAUAGGGAGAAUGAGAUGGUUGUUUAUAUUAAUUCCAUUGGUGGGGUCGAAUAUUACAGAUAGGUCCGUGGACUUUAUAAAGAGGUCCCUGGAUGUUACAACUGAGUCCCUAACCCUCACAAACAAGUCCUUAGACCCCAUUUCGGGCCUCUUUUACACAAGGGGGUCCCUAGCCUUAGGCCUCCUAAGGCACACCGUCAAUAGUAGCCCCUCAACUAUUCAGUCUUAGCUGGCACAACAAGACCUAAUAGAUGCUCCUGUUAAAAGAGGUCGACA